CAGCAGCCGCGGUAAUACGGAGGGGGCUAGCGUUGUUCGGAAUUACUGGGCGUAAAGCGCACGUAGGCGGCUUGGUAAGUUAGAGGUGAAAGCCCAGGGCUCAACCCUGGAAUUGCCUUUAAGACUGCCGAGCUAGUAGGUGAGAGAGGUGGGUGGAAUUCCGAGUGUAGAGGUGAAAUUCGUAGAUAUUCGGAAGAACACCAGUGGCGAAAGCGGCUCACUGGACCAUUACUGACGCUGAGGCGCGAAAGCUAGGGGAGCAAACAGGAUUAGAUACCCCCGUAGUCCCUGUCUCUUAUAC
rnacentral:rRNA from 1 species